rnacentral:misc_RNA from 1 species
UACCAAAGAAGGGAGGAAAAACUGAUUAUCUCAGGGUGACCGUUCCUUACAAACAUGACUAGUGUACCAUUAUACAACGCACCAGACAUGAUGCUUUUAUUUUGGCUUUACAGAUUCCUAUACGAGGCAUUCCCAUUCACUAAUCAAAGAUCAUACUCUAUAUGAAGAAAAUGUAAUCACAGGACUGCCAACAUCAAUGGGGCUUUUAGCCAUGGCAGA